ensembl:lncRNA
CGGCAGCGCGAGUGGUCCGCAGUGUGCCGGCCAGCUCGGAGAUCUCUGUGUGCGCCAGAGCAUUUGAUUAUUGUUUAUGUUAUUUUGUGGCGAGAAUAAAGAUUCUCCUUUUCCCUACUCUGCAUCUGAGUCCUCUGUCUAGCCCGCACCCUGACAGCUAGUAACUUGCUAAUCAUGCUAAUGACAUGCUAGUAACUUGCUAGUCAUGUUAGCAACAUGCUAGUCAUUAGCUUAUCAUGCUAGCAACAUGCUAGUCACUUGCUAAUCAUGGUAACAUGCUAGUGACAUCCUAGUUACUUGCUAAAUAUGCUAGUGGCAUGCUAGUCACUUGCUAAUCAUGCUAAGAACAUGCUAGCGACAUGCUAGUCACUUGUUAAUAAUGUUAACAACAUGCUAGAAACUUGUUAACGACAUGCUAGUGACUUGUUAAUCAUGCUAACGACAAGCUAGUGACUUGCUAGCCAUGCUAACAACAUGCUAGUCACUUGUUAAUCAUGCUAGCAACAUGCUAGUUACUUGCUAAACAUGCUGGAAACACGCUAGUGACGUGCUAGUAACUUGAUAAUAAUCAUGUUAGCGAUAUACUAGUCACUUGCUUAUCAUGCUAGCAACAUGUUAGUUUAGUAUUUCUUUUCAAUUUAUCUAUCUAUCUAUCUAUCUAUAUAUUUUUCUGAUAGAUUGUACUGCCUUCAAAACUUUAAAACUACUUCAAAUUAGUUAAAACUGAAAACCCUCAAACUUUAAGCUUUUAGAACUGCUUCAAACUGUCUGGCUAGGCUUUUUCAAGCCAACUUAAAGUUUGCCUACAAACUUUACUAUCUAGUUAGUACCAUAAAAUUCUCUCAAAAUACAAAAGAAAACAGAAAAAAAUAUUAUUGAACAAAAAUAUAUUAGAUUGAUUUUACUGAAGAAAAAAAAAAGUUAAAUUUCAGGUGUCCGAUCACUUUUGACUGUGAAGACCAUGAGAGUGACUCCAAAAUGAGGAGCGCACAAGGGUUAAAGGGAUAGUUACUCACCCUCUUGUCGUUUCAAACCUGUUAGACCUUUGUAUAUCUUCAGAA